AUUUAUUUUUUUUUCUUGCGAAAAUACAUGUAUUUUAUUAUUGUAUUUGACGAGUGAUUCAAUGUGAACAUUACAGUGGGUACUAAAUAGUUUCGUCAGUACCAAAUUCCAAAGCUGAAAAGUAAAUAUUCGUGGAGGUGGAGCUGGUGGGGUAAGUGUAAUCGUGAAAUCUCAGCAGUUGUCUCUAACAGUAUACAUUUUUGAUGUUACAUAUGAGCAGAAUAUUUCUUUAUUCUAAUUAAAAUUGUUCUUUAAUUGUAAGACGAGGGGACAGUCACAAUGUGUGCACUCGUUAUUCAGGAUUCAGAGGUAGAGGAGAGUGGAAUCGACAUUUUUCUCACUCUCGCCAUCUCUCCACUCUCUCCUGCCAUUCUUUUCUCUAAUUAAUCUCUAGAUUUGAUCAAAAACUUUAAUUUGUCUGUUCAAACACUGUAAAAACGGCUUUUACAGUGUCCAAACGAGUGUGAUGUAUUAUCUCUCCAUUUAAUCUGAAAUAAUCGGUUUUCAUCAGAACGACAACCAUUUUUAUUGGUUCAUUGAAUUCUCUUAUCUAAUAUGUUUCUAUUAUUUCAUUUUUUUUUCUCCGUUACUUUGGACAACACCUGUCGCUCCAUCAUAACAUCUCAACGCAUCUUAAAUCAAUAAAAUGGUAAAACAAAUUUUAUUAUUAUUAUUAUUUUUUUUCAGGUUUUCUCGUGAUUUUGUAUCGCAAUGAUUAUUUUAUCACUACUUAGGCAAUUAUUAUUUCGGUUUCACUUCCCAGGCCUCUCACACACACAUCAGCAUUCACACUUUUGUAUUUUUCAUUAUCUUAAUCGAUCAGUCGAUCUAUUUUGCUAGCUAUCUAUCUAUCUUCUGCUCAAGAUUCUUCGUAUCAAAUUUUCGGUUUAAAAAUCUUCACCCCAUUAUCUUUCAGGUCCCAGUACACUCACUGAUCUAUUCAAUUUUUAGAUGUUCUCACAAUCGCCCGGAACGCGCCAGAGGUAACGUUAAUUGGAUCAGGAGGGAUGUGACAUUUUUUUCGAGACGUUACUCACUUCUGAACAAAGAUGAUGAUUCGACGGAAUUAAAUCUCAUUUAAAAAAUUAUGAGUAAAUAAACAAGAUGGAGACAUUCAUGAAUCUUCACGUAUUGAGCUGAUCUUCAGAGGUUAAACUAUCUUUGUGAGAACUGGAUAAAUCACACAGAGAGUAAAUAUUUCGCAUCAAGAAUAUGAUUUUCAUUUGAGAAACUACAAGCACUCAUUAUUCCAACGAUUAAUUUUACGGAUAUUCAAAUAGGUAACACCUGGGAUAUUAUUCACACACCGUAUUUGUUACGUUAUCACUAUUCAUUCGUAUUUCUUUUUGAUUCGUAUUGCCAUGAGAGAUGGUGAUCACUUGCAAUCAUCAGUAUUCUCAAUUCGAUAUUAACUCUCGGUCCAGCGAUCACAAAGUAGUCGUAUAAAAGUACAAAAGUAGACAAAUUAAUUAACAAGACUCACUAAAACUCAAUAGUAAUUACACUGAUUAGAUAGAAAGUAGAGUAAACACGAUAAAACUGCUGAAUACAUAUCGAAUACAUUUAGAUAAUUAGUUUAAAAAUUGUUUAUAACUGUCAAUCCUUCAUUACUUUCUUGGACCAAAUUUAUUUUCCAUGUAAAAUAAGCAUCUAAAACGGCCAGCGAAUGGCCGGUGCUCCACGAUUCAUUUCAAAACUCAUUGAGACAAAACAUUGGUCGAUUCGUUGGAUUGAUACAUCUUCCUUAAUUACCCUAAAAGACGAAGAGAGAAUGGACGAAGAUAUCUUUCCAUGUUUUUUAGUGUUUUUUCUUUUAUUUUCACAAAUUUUCGUUGCUGAAUAGUAGUUCGUUGACUAUUUUAUGAAUUAUUCCCGGACAAAUUGAAUCGACCGACUGACAAAAAUCACACCGUCCUUACAUGAUAUAAUAUUAAUGGUCUGGAUGCACACAUGCAGUAGAUAUUCAAAAUUCAAAUGCAUAUCGAUAUUAUUCACGAACAAACCUCAAGGUUUCAAUCGUUAUUCUAUCAUGCGCAGAAAUCCUCGAAGGUAUUAAAAAAUAUAGACUGUAUUCACUACGAAGGCAUUCCACGAGUGGUUAUAUAUUUCCCUCAAUCAUCUACCCUAAAAUUCAUAUUGAGAGGGAAAAAAAAAAUACACUUGAGUCAUCAGACGAGACAAACACAUGAUAUAAUAACGAUCGAUGUCGAAACAUCAAGUACAAAUCCACAAUCUGGUAUAAUUUCCAUUUGUAUAACAAUUACAAAAUUUUAAUCCUCAAAAACUCCACAAUCGCUUCCAAUUUUGGCAGUUGAAAUUAAAUCAUCCCACCAAACAAUUAAAAAUCCCCAAAGAUCUCUUCAGACAUCUUUUUCUCUAUCAAUUCAACAGCAAUCCAUUGAAUUACAAUUUUAUUUAUAAUAUUCCCAUCACCAAAAGCGUAUUCUCAUGUCUCUCUUCAAA